rnacentral:lncRNA from 1 species
CCCGCGGCAGUCGCGUCCGCACGGUGCAGCCUCCGGGAUCCGGGCGGGGGAAGUGCGCGCAUCCGCAGCCGCCCUGGACGCUCAGGCGGGCCGUGAAAGACGAGGAUACGGGAGCGCCCUUGGGCGAACGUCUGCGGGGCUCCGGCGCCCGUCCCUGCGGCCCGGGAACUGCAAGCUGCCUGGACUGGGCCUGGCGCUGCCUUCAGGCCUGGUGUGAUCCGGGCGCACUGGGGCGUUGACAGUCAUUCCGGCACCGGCCACGCAGCUCUCCAUCUGCCCAAGGCCACGCUCCUGAGGACAGAGGUGCAGUUUUAAAACAAGGGCACGGAAAUAAAACGGCCACACACCCGGAAAGACCCAGAGACCCCUCCUCAGCUGCCCCCUAACCUGGGGCCUGAGGUCAGGACAGGCUGCAGUGGUCCUCAGAGGCUAAGCCAGCCUCACUCCCACAGCACGCUCAAGGGUCCUUGCAGGAGAAUGGAGUGAUACCGCCUCAGUGGUCCCGAGCGAGGGCGCUGGGAGAAGGGUUGAGAAGGAGAUGGCCACCAGCAUCCCAGAGAACGCCUUUGGGGCUCUGGGGAUCAGAAACCUGGGGCUACAGCCCUUCUGGCACAGUCAGCCAAGGUCAUUCCCUGGACAAAUCAUCAGAAGCUUGGCCAGGUUCUUGUCACCCCAACCUCAAGCUAGGCCCUUGAUCUUGGCCACAGACUGGCCCUUGACCCCAACUUUAGGUUCUAUUCAGCUCUGCGUCCAGAACACACACACACACACACACACACACUUCACUCCCUGGCUUGCCUUGUAUGGGGGUGAGUAUGGAACCCCGCAGGGACUCUGGGCUCUCCCCACAGAGUCCCAUCUAGACCUAAAUGCAGUCCCAGGUCCCACACCCCAACCCCCCUCCCCCCACCACUGCCACUUCCAAACCCGCCCCGCAGUCUACUGUGGGAAGGAGGUGGGGUAGGAGGGUUCUGAGUGCCUCCUACACCCAGGGCAUGAGCUCAGCAGCCUCAGGGUUCUGGUGCUUCCUAGGCCUGACUUUACAAUCUCUGCAGGAUCUCUCAGUGAGCAUAGCUACCCCAAGCCCCUGAGAAUCGUGAAUCCCAGAGACAGAUGCCUGGAGCUGCUUCCAGCCCUGGGGCAGGCCUCAAGGGGCUACCCACUAGGACCCGUGGCCCUCCAGGGAUGGGAAUGAUUGUUUUAAUCACUUUUAUUUUCUAAAUAUUAAAGACAUUCUUCCUUAGUGAAGGAUAUUUGGAAAGCAUUGAAAAGUGUUUAGAAGAUAGCGGAUAAGCAGAAAUCAAUUCCCCAAUUUCUGUGUGCCUAUACGUAUGUACACCAACAUAUAUUUGCACCUUUUAAAGCAAACCCUGCAUCCCUACUGAAUUCCAGGCCCGUGCUACUGAGUAUGUACACCUUACCGCAUUUAACGUUCACAACAGUACCAUGAGGUGAGCUCUGUU